CUGUGAGCACAGAUAUCUUGGUUAAACUUUCACAGAUAUCUUGGUUAAAGUACAAGGACAUAGAAUGGACUACGUGCCUGUAAGCGUGGCCUGUCUAUCAGCUACAUAGGAUAGCGCUUCACAAAGAAUUACCAGCACACUUAUGAUUUAUUCUUUAACAAGAAAGGAAACUUUAGAGAGGAACUGUUUUACUUCC